UUACUUUCGGAUGCGGCCUGC
rnacentral:siRNA from 1 species